rnacentral:rRNA from 1 species
AUUGAACGCUGGCGGAAUGCUUUACACAUGCAAGUCGAACGGCAGCACGGACUUCGGUCUGGUGGCGAGUGGCGAACGGGUGAGUAAUGUAUCGGAACGUGCCCAGUCGUGGGGGAUAACGUAGUGAAAAUUACGCUAAUACCGCAUACGAUCUAUGAAUGAAAGCGGGGGAUCGCAAGACCUCGCGCGAUUGGAGCGGCCGAUAUCAGAUUAGGUAGUUGGUGGGGUAAAGGCCCACCAAGCCAACGAUCUGUAGCUGGUCUGAGAGGACGACCAGCCACACUGGAACUGAGACGCGGUCCAGACUCCUACGGGAGGCAGCAGUGGGGAAUUUUGGACAAUGGGCGAAAGCCUGAUCCAGCCAUUCCGCGUGCAGGAUGAAGGCCCUCGGGUUGUAAGCUGCUUUUGUACAGAACGAAAAGGUUUCUACUAAUACUAGGAGCUCAUGACGGUACUGUAAGAAUAAGCACCGGCUAACUACGUGCCAGCCGCCGCAGUAA